GAGGGUCUCCCGAGACAAUUAAACAAUUACCUCUGGGUUCGUGUAGCAGUCCAAAAGACAACCAUUAUAACCCUCAUAAUUUGGAAUUAUGGUACUUCAAUGGCUUAAUAAUUGCUGGAAGUUUUGUAACUCCUCGGUCAUUAUUUUCUAUAAACUAUGAUCUUCUAUUGUUGGAGAAAAACACAUUUCACCCUCGUUUCAUACACUUCUGCAAUUUCAUUCGAAGAGAGUGACAGACGUUUUCGGUGGUGUCCCAACAUACGCGGUUUAGUCAUUUUACGCCGAUAAAGACUACAACACCAUCGGUAAGCGAUGAAUCUUUUUAAGAAGACUGCGUUUGCAGAACUUGGCAAUUUGUAUCUCAUUAUGAAUUUUUUGUUUUAUAUUUGUAAAUUCAAUUUAGUAUAUUUAUUGAGAUUAAUAUAAAUUAUUCUUUCAAAUUCAGUUUGCCGUAUUAUUCCAACAAACAUUACCUGAAUCAACAAGAGAGGGCAGCCAAGGAUUCCUUCAGAGCCAGGAACGUCAUGCAAAAGCUCUUCCAAGUAUGGCCCGGAUCAAAUUGUGUCACCAAUUAGCUGGUGAGGCUCAAUAUCUGCAUCUGCCGAUGAACAAAACCCCUUCGCUCGUACAAUCCAACCAAGUUUUCGGGUAGGGACCCUCAAUAAGCCUUCCGGCGAAUGGGUUAGUAAAACGCGAGUGCUCAGCGAGUGCCUCUGAUGACCUUGACGGGGUUCUUCUCCUUCAGUGGAAGCUUUCUUUUGUAGAACAUGAUCACCGAACCUGAAAAAAACCGGAGGACCUUCUUGAUCAAUCUAUGUCUGAUAGUUGCUUCAGUCUCUUGGUGUCGGCUUAGAGGCAGAACAAAGUGUCGAGUUUUUUCCUUCUCACCGUGAACACCAGGGAGGGUGGAAAUGAUGCCAUAGUUAAGGAAACUAUUUGAUAAAAUAUCUGAGGAGAACAGCAGAGAUGCCAUGUAUCAAAAUUUUGGAAAGUAUUUAUAGGGGAGUUUUUUUUCAUAAAUUAUACUUUGCACCUCUGAACUUUGCACUCAAUUUUAAUGUGGCUUCCUUACCUUUAACUAGCCAGUCCAAACCUUUAUACUUUCGUAUUGUGGAGGUGCACAGUGAGCUACUUUACGGGCUAUUUCUUCCUUCUCUUUAACCACCCGUUUAAAAAAUUUAAUAUCUUUAAUUUAUUUGUCUACGCCUUUUUAAUCCAUUAAAUUAACACAUCUUUAACCGAAUCCCCUUUUCUCAACACCCACUAGCAAUCUUCUCUCCCCUACUUGACACCAAGCUUUCCCCGUAUUUUUGUAUCUAUCUUAUCCUCAACUAUCAUCUCUCUCUCUCUUCUCCCUUUCUCCAUCACUCUUUUCCCAAAGUGUAUGGAAAUGCUUCGGGAUAAUUUGUUGACAAUUAAUAUAUACCAAACCUAAUAAGAAAAUUAAAUCAAGCUAAAUCGCAGUUUGGCUAUUUGAAAAACUUAAGCCAAAUCGGCCAAAACAAUAAGCUAAUCAAUAUGUAUUUUCAAUAUUUCCCUCCAUUUAAUUGGUUCAUUGGAGUCUCGAACUGCUUAUUUUCCGUUGGAUUUUAAAGGUAUAUAUCCGAUGGAAUGGCCAUAACGACAGUUGAAUCCAAAUUUAAUGACUUGACAGUCUCUUUUGAAAAUGAAGAUUGUAAGGUGAGAUUCGAUAUAAAAUACAGGAAUGUGAAGUGUAAUUUACCUUUAAUUUUGCAAUAGCUUCAACCACAUGCACUUGUGAGAUAAACGUGGAACUGCAAACAUGUGAUUCACGUUGCACUAAGGAAAAUAAAAUAAAUUAUGAAAACAUCACUUGAAGUGGCAGCUACGUCUACGUGUAUGGUUGUGACUUGAAUUUCUUUUUCAUGUGUUUACAUAUCAAUUUAUAUUUAAGCCACGUUUGGUGUAUGGUUUUUUUGAGAUUUUUUAUUUGUUUUGGUUUUUGUGCAUCUUUAGAUAACUGUUUUUACUGUUAGAAUUAAAUUUUAUACUUUUUUAAUUUUUCUUGAUGAAAAGAGUCCUAAAAUAUAAAAAAAAAUAGUUCGUUGAAUUUAAUAUUAUGUUUUAUACGUACAUUAUGAGGUUUGAAACUUGUAACAAAUUCCCCCUGUUAGAAUUUGUCCCCCAAACGGCGUCACUAUUGCUUGUAAAAUUACUACUUUGCCCUCACACCUAUGGACAAUUACUAUAUUGCCACCUCUCUCUCUCGGUUUUUUUUUAGUUUUGUUUUUUUAUUAUUAUUUUUUUAAUAAUUUUUUUUAUUAUUAAAUUUAUUUCUAUGUUUUAUCAAUUUUUUUUUUGAUAAACAAGUUUUUUAUUUGAAAAUUAACAGUUUUUCUAAAAAAAUAUUUUUUUAAAAAAGAGUUAAUCAAAAAAAAAAAUUUAAAUAGUUUUGAAAUAUAUAUUUUAUUGAAAAUAAUUUUCAAAAAAUAUAACAGUUUGUUUUUAUAAAAAACAAAAUAUUUUUUUUAAAAAUAAUAGUUUUUUUUCAUAAAUAAUAAUUUUUAAAAAUUAUUUUCAAAAAUUAAGCAGUUUUUUGCACCUUCAUUUAAUCAUUUCCUUCAUUAUACUUUCACAAAAAUAGAUUUUUUGUGUCCUUGAGAAUAUUUUAUUUUGGCUCUAUGCUAAUAAUUAUAACUUUUUUUAACUCUAUGUUGUAAGAAAAAUUUACCCUAAAAAUCUGUGGCCACUUCACGUUUUUGAGGAUUUAAAAGUCUACGGGUCGAUCCUUUAACAUUUCCUUUUAUUUUUUUCCUAUCAAAUCAAUGAAUUUUUUUUUUUUGAUCUGGGCUUUUUUUUAUCAAAUUAAGUAAAAACAAAUUUACAUAUUCAGUCUCAGCUCGUCACGAGAAAUCAGAAAAGUAUAAAAUUUUAAUCAAAAUAGUUAAAAAAAAUCACUAAAAUAAAAAACUAAAAAAUCAAAGUAGCUACUUUUUAUAAAAAUAAAAAAUAAAAAAAAAUAGUUUAAUCUAAAUCAAAAGUAUCAAAAAAAAAAAUAGAUUAGUUAAAAUAACAAAUAUAAACUAUAUUUGUGUAUUAAACCCAAAUCUCAAUGGUGGUUAGCAUAAUUUACACUUUUUUAAUUGGAUGUUAAAAAAGGAAAAAGGGUAAAAUGGGUAUUGUAACAAUGUGUAUUGCUGACCUCAUCAAAUUUCGUCAUUGUCAGUGAUGGUUGACUAAUUAGGGGUGUUUUGUAUCUUAAACCAAAAUCUCAAAAAAAAUUAUUAUUAUUUUUUAAAUGUCAAAGGUAUUUUAUAUAUUAACCUAAAAUCUCCCGUGAAUGAUUAGGAGGGAAGGAUAUAAAAGUGUGUUGGUUGUGGGUGAGGCGGGGAGCAAUUUACUUUCAAUAAAAAUGUGAAAUGCAUGGUCGGUCGAGUUGGUGUCUUGUCCGAUGUUUUCAUUUGGAGUCGUCAAACAACAGUGACACUUCAAUCGGUCAAGUUUGUGGCUCAAAACUUUCCAAGGAAAUUAUCUAAAAAUAUAAAAGUUGUGGCUUGGCAUCACCAGUAGGAAUCUUCUAAUCAUGCAAAGUUGCAAAAUUUUACAUGACAAAAAAAAAAAAAUCCAAUAGUGUAUUUCCUACCGACUUAUAUAAAAUAUUAAAUUUAGGAUCAAAAUCUUCUUUGUAGUCCAAAUACUUUGGUCCAAUAAUCCAAACUGAUCUAUUAUAGACUUCAUAAAAAAUGCUAAUACUAUAAAAAAUUAACUUGAUCGGAUACAAAUCAAUAGUCAAUCAAGGUAAAUGGGUAUAUUCAUUUAUGUCACACUCAUUUAUUAAGUUAUAAAACGGUACUAAUCAGAAACUAUGUUCAAUUAACGUGUUUUUUUUUACGGUGCCGAUCUUUACGUAGAGUAUAUAUAAUAUGGAUCAUCAAAAUAAACUCAAAAUAUGACUCAAAAUACUUAGACUAUACCCGUGCAUUGCGAUGUAUAUGCCUUUAAGCAACCAAGAAUAUAUGAAAGAUAAUUUCGUCAAUGAAUGUAAAAUAAUUGACAAUAUUUAUCAUUAGAAAUGAAGAAAACAACAAUUUAGAAGCCAAUAUCAAAGCAAUCAACCUCGAGAUUAUGUCAGGUCUGACCCAUGGCCGAAGCAAAAAAACGUUGGAACAUAGGUGUCCCACUUGAGGGUUAAGUUGGAUAUAUCAGUUUUAUGAAAGCAACAAACACAGACUUAUGAGAGCGUUGCCUACUGCCCACCGACAGGGUCUGAUAUUACUAGUUUCGUGGAGGAUGAGUGCGUAUUAUAAAAAACGACUGAGCUUUGCGGUGAUUUUUGGAGUCAAGUGGUCAGUCAUUCAAGCAUUAAGCACAAAAAUUGGUGGGUGCUACAGAUAAGAUCAUUCAAUUAUGUAGCGUUAAGUUAAAGAUUCACACAUUGAUAUUGGCAUAUACUCACAUUUCAGACACUAAGUACGUUUCGUGCAUGACUGGAAGGCACACUCACUAAUAUUUGUACUUAAUGCUUGGAUGACUGACCACUUAAAAAUGUUUGAACAUGAGACUUAGGUGUUGAAACCUUAUGUAUUUGCCAUCAAACCAACCCACUUGGUUAUUGCACGUUAUUUGUUCUUGGCACAUGGUUUUCGAUAUUCAGCUGAUAUAGAUUGGUAAGGUUUAAAUAUUUGGUGGUAUCGUUGAGAUGAAAACCAAUUUAUAGUGAACAAGUUAAGAGAGAGAGAGAGACGCCUUGUUCCCCUUUUAUAGCCAAGAAAAUUAUCUAAAAAUAUAAAAGUUGUGGCUUAGUAUCACCAGUAGGAAUCUUCUAAUCAUGCCAAGUUGCAAAAUUUAACAUGACAAAAAAAAAAACACAUAAAACUCCAAGUGUGUUUCCAAGUGAAUUAUAUAAAAAUAUUAAUUUAGAAAAAGACUUCUUUGCAGUCCAAGCACUUUGCUCCAAUGAUCUAAACAGUUUAUAUUGUAGACCUCAUUAAAAAUUUUAAUACUGUAAAAAAUCACCUUAAUCAGAUACAAUCAACAGUUGAUCAAUAUCAAUUUACAUCAAUUAAGUGAUUAGAAGAUUAAGAGUAAAUUACACUUUGCAUUCCUGUAUUUUAUAUUGAAUCUCACCUUACAAUCUUUAUUUUCAAAAGAGACUACCAAGUCCUUAAAUUUGGAUUCAAGUGCGGUUAUAGCCAUUUCAUCCGUUACCUUUUAAUAAUCAACAGAAAUAAGCCGUUUGAGACUCUCAUGACCAAUUAUUGAGGGAAAAAUAAGAAAAUCCACUUAGACGAUGCUUACUUUUUUUUUUGGCCUAUUUAGCUUAAGUUUUUCAAUCGCAAUUGAUAUUUUAUCUUUGGUUUUAAUUUUGCUUAUUAGUCUGGUAUAAAAUUAUGGUGACAAAUUGUCCAAAGUAUUUCCAUAACUUUGGAAAAGGGUGAUGUAGUAGGGAGAAGAGAGAUGAUAGUGAGGAGAUACAAAUAGGAAGCUGGUGGCAAGUAGAGGAUAGAAGGUUGAUAGUAGCAUCGGCAGAUAAAAAGUCAGAUUCGAUAUUGGAUUCAGAAAGUGCUUACCACUUGUGCAGAGACAGAGAGAUAUUCUCUACAUAUGCAUUAUGCGAUGGACUUGUACGGAUGAUGAACAACACGGCGAACAGAGUUAUUGGCAAAGGAACAGUCUGAUUUCGCAUGGCAGUCGGGAGGUCUCUGACAUUGACCGAGGUAAGGUAUGUUCCUAGUCUACGAAAAAAUUUAAUUUUCAUUGGGAUGCUAGAUUCGAAGGGUUGCAGUUUUACAGCUAGUGGGGGAAUUCUAAAAGUUUUCAAGGGAAAUAAGGAGAUAUUGUGGGGAAGGAAGACUAGAGGACUAUACGAACUGGAAGGGAGUAUCCAGAUAAGGGGAGCUCUUGUUAGAUAUGGGUUUAAUGGUACUAGCAAACAAGAUGAACAAGGAAAGCAACAAUUGCACAAAGGCACGCAAAGUAAGCAUAGGGGUACCUAGAGGAUUCGAAGUGGUACAUGAGCACAGGGAGAGGCUUUAAGAUAUGUGCGGAAGUUUGGCCAGACACAAGUGGUGCAACCAGUGCAGGAUGUCUAGAAAAGUUAAGAGAAAUGUAAUAAAGUCGAUUUUGAAGAGUUGUACAGCGACAGAUACGACGACAUCGAAACGGAUCUCUUUCACUCUCGAUUUGAUUAAUGGCGGUGAUCUCUCCAGUUUUGUACACAAGGAGUGAUAGAUGUAACCAUGACAACUCACAAAGUGAUGUACUUUGCGGCGCACCCCGGUGGAGAUGUGGGGCACCUCAAUGAGAAUGUGCGGGUACUUUGGUAUGGAGGUAUAUAUACUUCAGUGAGAAGUGGAGUAGCCCGUUGAUUAAGGCAAGGUAUCUCGGAUGUUGUCUUGUAGAUCUUGUGGGGGAGUUGGACCAAAAAUUAUUAGGAUGGACAACUUGAAGACAUCAGAUUAUCUUCCAAUGGAUUGAAGAGGGAGAUUAUUGAGUACAACCCACAUUGAUGAGUACAACCCACUAUUGGGACCAAGCCUAAAUAGUAUAUUUGGGUCCAAGGCCAAGCUUGUUUAGCAAUAGUUUUUCUCUAUAAAUAUGAAGAGAUAGAGAAAAUUAGGGUGUAGGAUUGUGUUGGGUUAACUGAGAAUAGAGAGAGAAAAUGAGGAGAGACAAGAGAGGCUGACAGAGAUUGUGAGAGAAAUGUUGAGAGUGUGUUGAGAAAGUGAGUUUCCUCCUUUUGUAAUCCCUUCGUUCGAUUAGUGGAUUAUUUAUUUCUCUCCGUAGAUGUCGACAUUAUUGACUAAACAACGUAAAUAUUUAUAGUCAUGUGUGUGUGAUCGGUUGUUUUAAGCACGACCCUCCAAAUACACUUGUUAAGUUCUUUGUCAUGGAUUCCUUUUAUGUUUUUGCGUGUUGGUAGGUCGUUUGAGCCUAUUAUACGAUCUUUUGGAUGAAUUUCUUUGUCAUAUGGAUUCCUUUUUAUAUUUUGAUAAAAUAUAAUAUAGAUAACUUUUAAUAAAGAUAACUUUCAAAUGGUAUUUUAGAGAUUUUGAGAUGCAAAAGCUCUUAGGAGAUUAAUUAUCAUGACAGAGGUAUGCAAUAUUACAACAAUGGGAUGGUACAUGAUAUUGCUUAGUAGAUUUAGUGUCACAAUAAAUCUACUGACAAUAGACCUUUAAGUGUUGCAAUGUACGAAUCAAAUCAAGUGAAAUCUAUUUAUCACUCCUACUUACUCUCAACUGAUCACAAUCACAGCAAAUUUAAAUUUACAGCUUGGACACAACUUUAAUGGACUUGUAAUCAAAUAGACCAUCCACAUGCUCUCCAGUCAUUUUCUUCAACUCCUCUUGAAACCUUUCCAAAGCGGCUUCUGGCAAGCAAAUCAGUACCACAGUCCCAUUUUCCCCUUUAUUGUCUUUAAACCUUCCAUAGAAGCUAAUCAAAGGGAACGCCUUAGCAGGUCCGCCAUAGACCGGUUUCCCCCACCCAAAAUCUAUUGUGUCAAGGCCAACGCGGGUCAUAUCAGACACAAUAUAGUUCCCCGCCACCGUAUAGAGAGGUCGUCCCUUAGUCACCAUAAGAUCUGCCACUGACCUCAAAUACUCUCCGGUCAUUAUGGCCUUUGCCUUCUUCACCCCCUCCAUCACGUAUUCCAACGGAGAAGUAGAAAUCAUUCCAGCUCUCAAAACUGUAGCUGGAAAGGCAGAAACAUUUCCAUAGUAUCCUCGAGGUACAUGCAGGCCGUGCUUUCCACGUCCGUUGGCUGCGCACGAGAUGCGAACCGUCUUUUGGGGGUCUAGCCCAAGUGCACAA
rnacentral:lncRNA from 1 species